rnacentral:rRNA from 1 species
UACGUAGGGGGCAAGCGUUGUCCGGAAUCAUUGGGCGUAAAGCGCGCGUAGGCGGCCCCGUAAGUCCGCUGUGAAAGUCAAAGGCUCAACCUUUGAAAGCCGGUGGAUACUGUGGGGCUAGAGUCCGGAAGAGGCGAGUGGAAUUCCUGGUGUAGCGGUGGAAUGCGCAGAUAUCAGGAGGAACACCAAUAGCGAAGGCAGCUCGCUGGGACGGUACUGACGCUAAGGCGCGAAAGCGUGGGGAGCGAACAGG